GGCUGACGCUGUGGCCGCGGCGCCUUGUGUCUUGCAGGAGAACGGGCGCUGCACCACCAAGCUGGAGAGCAUGGGCUUCCGCGUCGGGCAGGGGCUCAUCGAGAGGUUUACAAAAGAUACUGCCAGGUUCAAGGAUGAAUUAGAUAUUAUGAAGUUUAUUUGCAAAGAUUUUUGGACAACGGUAUUCAAAAAACAAAUAGAUAAUCUAAGGACUAAUCACCAGGGUAUUUAUGUCCUUCAAGACAAUAAAUUUCGUCUCUUGACACAAAUGUCUUCAGGAAAGCAGUAUUUAGAACAUGCACCAAAGUAUUUAGCAUUCACCUGUGGACUAAUCAGAGGGGGCCUAUCAAACCUGGGAAUAAAGAGUAUUGUAACAGCUGAAGUUUCAUCAAUGCCUGCAUCAUUUUUCAAGGUGGAAUUUGUUUGAAGCUGCUGGGCCACAGGAGUCCAUGUGAACUUCAGGGUAUGGUUUGCCACUAAAUCCUUUAGUACUUAGAAACUGAUGGAGGAUAAGCCUCCAUGAUGUCGAGUGUAAAGCAAAACUAAAAAGUUGUAUUUAUAUUUAGAAGCAUCAAGUGUGUAAGGAUGUGUGUCCAGAAAGUUAUUUGCACAAGUGAAGAUCUUUCUCUGUAGGAGUCAUUAAGAAAGUUAGUAAAUUUCAGGUGAUGAUACAGAAGAUGUAGAGCAGAUUCAAAUCUGGGUAUCUACUUUAAAUAGUCUUUGUAUGUGGAUUCAAUAUCUUGGCUCAGUCUUGUAUAUAACAUGUAAAUUAUAGCAGUGUGCAGCACAAUUCCAAAAUAUAUAAUAAAUGCACAUGGAAAUAACACU